GACGAACUCUGGCGGCGUGCUUAACACAUGCAAGUCGAACGGAAAGGCCCUGCUUGCAGGGUACUCGAGUGGCGAACGGGUGAGUAACACGUGGGUGAUCUGCCCUGCACUUCGGGAUAAGCUUGGGAAACUGGGUCUAAUACCGGAUAGGAACCAUCUUUAGUGUGGUGGUUGGAAAGUUUUUUCGGUGUAGGAUGAGCUCGCGGCCUAUCAGCUUGUUGGUGGGGUAAUGGCCUACCAAGGCGGCGACGGGUAGCCGGCCUGAGAGGGUGUACGGCCACAUUGGGACUGAGAUACGGCCCAGACUCCUACGGGAGGCAGCAGUGGGGAAUAUUGCACAAUGGGCGCAAGCCUGAUGCAGCGACGCCGCGUGGGGGAUGAAGGCCUUCGGGUUGUAAACUCCUUUCGCUAGGGACGAAGCUUUUUGUGACGGUACCUAGAUAAGAAGCACCGGCUAACUACGUG
rnacentral:rRNA from 1 species